GACGAACGCUGGCGGCGUGCUUAACACAUGCAAGUCGAACGGAAAGGCCUCUUUCGGGGGGUACUCGAGUGGCGAACGGGUGAGUAACACGUGAGUAACCUGCCCUUGACUUUGGGAUAACUUCAGGAAACUGGGGCUAAUACCGGAUAGGAGCUCCUGCUGCAUGGUGGGGGUUGGAAAGUUUCGGCGGUUGGGGAUGGACUCGCGGCUUAUCAGCUUGUUGGUGGGGUAGUGGCUUACCAAGGCUUUGACGGGUAGCCGGCCUGAGAGGGUGACCGGCCACAGUGGGACGAAGAACGCGCCAAGACCCCGCGGGGGGGAAGAGGGGGGAAUAUUGGAAAAGGGGGGGGAGGCGUGAGGCACAAACCCCGGGGGGGGGAGGACGCCUUGGGGGUUGAAACCCGUUUCCGCUCAGGACAAAGUUUUGGGGGAGGGUGGUGGGAAAAGAAGCCCGGCCUAACUCGGC
rnacentral:rRNA from 1 species